rnacentral:pre_miRNA from 1 species
UGGACAAAUUAUUUAUUCGACUGUAUUCACGGCGUGAAAUAGAGGAUUACACUGUUUUUAAAACGGAAAAUGAAUCAAUUAACAUAAUAGACUCCU